rnacentral:lncRNA from 10 species
UUAUAUGCACAUUUUUCCUGGCCUCCUGUCAUUUGCAAUUCUGAUCAUUAUGCCAUUAAAGACAUCUAUAAUGAAAAAUCAUCAUUCAAAAAAUGAGAUGAAAAUGGGAUAUAAAAAGUAACAAAGAACCGGAGACCCCUCCCUGUAGACAGCCAGCUCAACUAGUCACGAACACCCUAAGGGUCUAUUUUAAAAACCUUGACAAAUAUGUAAGACCCAGCAUGGGCCAGGCACAUUAUCCAACCCAAGGAUCCGACCCAACUUCGCACUGCUUUGCGUUUCAAUCCAAACCCCAUCUGGUCUGGAGGCUGUGUGUGGAGAGUGUGCAUGCAUGCUGCAUUCUUCUGAGUCUCCAUACUGCAAAGGAUGAAACCAGG